UGUCAUAAGAUUUCCCAAAAAUCAAUCUCAAUGAAGAGGGUGUUGAAAUCAAGGAAACAUUUGAGGGCAUUCCAUUUCCAUAACUUUUUCCCCUUCAAGAAAUAUCAUAGACAACCUUCCAUCCAAAGUCAACAAAAUUGAAACCCAUUUUUGAGACUUGUUGUUGCCUCAUCCUAUAACUGACGGCAACGUUCGAAAAUCUAGAGACGUCAUCAGGGGCCCCAGAAAGAGUUAUAUUUUAUUUUUAACAGCUUUUCCACCUUGAAAUCGGCUCAACAAGAGAUAGGGUCCAGCAGCUGGAAGAGCAUCAAAGUCUUACAGUGUCCGGUGCACCCUCGAUGGCCCUUGAAAUUUUGGAGGACCGAGUAACUUCCAUGCCCGGUCGUACUCAUAACUGCAUCAAGUCUCCAAGGUGAACAAUCUCU
rnacentral:ncRNA from 1 species